rnacentral:rRNA from 1 species
AUCGAACGCUGGCGGCAGGCCUAACACAUGCAAGUCGAACGAGUGGCGGACGGGUGUGUAAUGUCUGGGACACUGCCUGAUGGAGGGGGAUAACUACUGGAACCGGUAGCUAAUACCGCUUACCAUCAGAUGUGCCCAGAUGGGAUUAGCUUGUUGGUGGGGUAACGGGUCACCAGGGCGACGCUCCCUAGCUGGUCUGCGCGGAUGACAGGCCACACCGGAACUGAGACACGGUCCAGAGUCCGACGGGGGGCAGCAGUGGGGAAUAUUGCACAAUGGGCGGAAGCCUGAUGCAGCCGUGCGGCGUGUAGGAAGAGGGCCGUCGGGUUGUAAAGUACUGUCAGCGGGGAGGCGGUACCCGAAGAAGAAGCAGCGGCGAAAUCCGUGCCAGCAGCCGCGGUAAUUC